CCAUGCAAUUAAUUUUUUCUUUUUUUUAUUUCUGCAUUGUAAGCAAAAGAACUGUUAAAUGAACUUCUGCUUAUAGCUAUAUUUAGAUGGGCUACCUCGCUUUUAAAAAGUGUUUUUUUUUUUUUUUUUUUUUUUUUUGCUUCUCAAUACAAAAAGUCUCGCUUCCUGGGGCCAGACAGCUGUUCUGUGUUGUUCAGAGGGCUACAACUGUGAGUUCCAUUCACGCACUCUUAGGUCACAAUGACGUGGAUAAAUGGACCAUUUUAGAACAUAUUAGGAUUGAGAAAUAAUUGGUUCCCCCAAUCAACCUGGGUUGAAGAGCCACUAUUUCCUGCUGAGUAGGAAUUCACCUUAGCACACAGUUUACUCAAGGAAACACACAUGUGCCGCUGACCCUUAGAACUCACUGUCUUCUGCUUCUUCCAUAUCUUGUUCAAGACUAUCCCGUGAAAAGGUGUGUGUGUGUGUGUGUGUGUGUGGUGGGACAGCUGGUCAGAGUCGAGUUCCAGAACUUCCUCUGGUCCUUGCUUCAUUGAGAAUCUCGGGUUCUAGCAUGGGAAGUUAGGGGAAGGAGCUCAGACUUCUGGGGGGCUUGCCUCGCCUGUCAGGUAUCCCUCCCCAUGGACCUGUUUCACAGAGUCCCAGGCUUGGAGAUGUGUAACCUGUCCAGCCACCUAUCAUUGCUGAAGGGCAGAGGUGGUGACAUUAGUACAGAUACCUGGGAAGUCUCUGGGAAUCCUUUAGUUAUGCCCAGACAUUCCCUGCUGCAGGGCCUUCUAACUCAGUUAGGGUGGAAAGAACACUGGCCUGGAGUCCUCCUUUGCUUUUUCACUCUGUAUCCUGGGCGAAUCACUUGUCCUAAUACCUGUUUUCUGCUUGACCCAAGGGGCCAUGGUUCAUGUCCAGUUGGCUAGGGAGCUCUUUGCUUAAAUAAUGGUAGACCCAUGUGGAGGGUACUCCUCAGGGUUCUCCGAUCUCCUUAUCUUCCUCCUUCAUUAUGUAUACAAUAUUCUUUCUGUGUGUAUGCCUGAAGGCCAGAAGAGGGCACCAGACCUCAUUAUAGAUGGUUGUGAGCCACCAUGUGGUUGCUGGGAAUUGAACUCAGGACCUUUGGAAGAGCAGGCAAUGCUUUUAACCACUGAGCCAUCUCUCCAGCCCUAUCUUCCUCCUUCAGUUUGGAGACUCUCUGUUGGCACAGGGUUCCAAGUCUGCCCCAUUGGAGAGGGUUACUACAGCAGAGCUAGUGGGCCAGUCUUGCCUGAUGUGGUGCCUGGUGGACCAGGAUCAAGGGCCCUGGCCUCUCCUGCCAGCACUCUGGGAAGUGUCAGUGCAGAAGCUUACUAACUGUGGAGGGAAGAAGAAUCUUCCAGAAGUUGAAAUGGAGUUGACUCAAGAGCUGCCGCUCCUGUGUAUUAUAGGCUGAGCUCUACCAACUACCGGAGCAGAGCAAGGGGUCAGGCAGGCCUCCAUUCCUUUCACUUUCUCCUUCCCCUUUGACUCCUGGGUUCGCUGGAAUAUUUGUUUCUGCACGCAGAAGCAACCCGCGCUCUGCCUGCAUGUUUUUGCUGUUGACACAGUGCUGUUGACCAGAUAAGCCAGGGGACCUGAAUCCCAGAAGGCAGCAGCUGUCCUUGGGACUGGCACUGGACAGCUCUGAUUCAGGGCUAGAGGCUGGAACACCAGGAAGCAGAGGUCUGGGAGUCCAACUCCGGGGGAGAGGCGAUUCUCAAUGGUCCUCAGUAACCUCAGGUGAGCGCCGUGGUGCCAAGUCUGUCUUUAGCCAGGGAGGGACCAUGCCGAGCGUGUCUCUCUCAAGUCUGGGAGGACAACUGCUCCACUGAGAAGCCUUCAGCACACACUGGGAAAAGCCCCAAAGCCACAGCUCCAUCUGAGACAUAAAUGCCAAGAAUUGCACGGCAGGAGGGUUGAACUCGGGUUUCAGGACAAGGGAAGUGCCCAUGAGGGGGAAGUGAGAGCGGAUGCCUGGGGAGAGGUGGCAUCGACUCAGCCUGUGAGCUGUCUGGAUCUGUUAAUUCAGAACGGCAUAACCGGUAAACAUCGAUCUGUGCAUUCCUUGGGAACAAAUGUCCUGAGUCAGUCCCGAACCUAGGGAAGUUGAAUUUAAAUAAAUUUUCCCCUGGGAGAUCAGACAGAGGCAGUGGGAGGGGGGUGUGGAAGGCUAUGUCUCCUCUACUGCCCUUGUUCCAAAAUAUCCCCUAUUUCUAAAUGUCAGCUGCCAAUGAAAGUUUUGUAAAGCACGGCUUAAAAA